UUGUGGGUUCUCCAAUUUAGGCUUCGACAUGACUCACGAAAUCCUACAUUACCAAAUACAAAGCAUAAAAAAAUACUGAAAGAAAGGUGCUUUGGAGUGAGAUACAGAGAAAUGGAUAAAGAAAAAUGAAAGAAAAAGAGGCGAGCCUUGGAAAGGAAGAAAUACAGAGGUGAGAGUAGUAGAAGCUGUAGCGGCCAUCAUCAGGAGCAAGAGCAACCAAACAAUUAAUUGAGUCUGCUAAAUUGGUUUCGCUGCUUUACUUAUUACUUAUGGGGAAAAGAGUUGAGUCCGAGGAUAAGUCUUUAA
rnacentral:lncRNA from 1 species